rnacentral:rRNA from 1 species
GACGAGCCACACAAACGUUAUUCGGAAUUACUGGGCUUAAAGGGUGCGUAGGCGGCGCGGUAAGUGGGUGUGAAAGCCCUCGGCUCAACCGAGGAACUGCGCUCCAAACUACCGUGCUUGAGUGAGACAGAGGUAAGCGGAACUUCGGGUGGAACGGUGAAAUGUGUUGAUAUCCGAAGGAACACCGGUGGCGAAAGCGGCUUACUGGUCGUCAACUGACGCUGAUGCACGAAAGCCAGGGUAGCAAACGGG